rnacentral:rRNA from 1 species
CCUACGGGCGGCAGCAGUGGGGGAUAUUGCACAAUGGGGGAAACCCUGAUGCAGCGACGCCGCGUGUGGGAAGACGGUCCUCUGGAUUGUAAACCACUGUCCCCAGGGACGAAGAUGACGGUACCUGGGGAGGAAGCUCCGGCUAACUACGUGCCAGCAGCCGCGGUAAUACGUAGGGAGCGAGCGGUGUCCGGAAUUACUGGGUGAAAAGGGAGCGUAGGCGGGGAUGCAAGUUGGGGGUCAAAACUACCGGCUCAACUGGUAGUCGCACUCAAAACUGCAGCUCUUGAGUGAAGUAGAGGCAGGCGGAAUGCCUAGUGUAGCGGUGAAAUGCGUAGAUAUUAGGAGGAACACCAGUGGCGAAGGCGGCCUGCUGGGCUUUUACUGACGCUGAGGCUCGAAAGUGUGGGGAGCAAACAGGAUUAGAUACCCCUGUAGUC